rfam:Gossypium arboreum cultivar AKA8401 contig_4847_7, whole genome shotgun sequence.
UGUUAAAAGUUCCAUUUAUUUGUGCUAUUAAAAAAAUUGACGUGACUAACAAAAUAGUCAGACAAUAACAUUUGAUGUGUCACAUGCACUUUAUGUUAACGUACAGGGACUAGUUUUUAAUAGUGGGAAUGAAUGAAUUUUUUAAUC